rnacentral:rRNA from 1 species
CUACGGGUCGCAGCAGUGAGGAAUAUUGCACAAUGGGGGGAACCCUGAUGCAGCAACGCCGCGUGGAGGAUGACGCAUUUCGGUGUGUAAACUCCUUUUAUAUGUCAAGAAAAUGACGGUAGCAUAUGAAUAAGCACCGGCUAACUCCGUGCCAGCAGCCGCGGUAAUACGGAGGGUGCAAGCGUUACUCGGAAUCACUGGGCGUAAAGGACGCGUAGGCGGGUUGGAAAGUCAGGUGUGAAAUCCUACAGCUUAACUGUAGAACUGCACUUGAAACUUCUAAUCUAGAGUAUGGGAGGGGGGGAUGGAAUUAGUGGUGUAGGGGUAAAACCCGUAGAUAUCACUAGGAAUACCUAAAGCGAAGGCGAUCUCCUGGAACAUUACUGACGCUAAGGCGUAAAAGCGUGGGGAGCAAACAGGAUUAGAUACCCGGGUAGUC